UUUGUGGAGAGUUUGAUCCUGGCUCAGGAUGAACGCUGGCGGCGUGCCUAAUACAUGCAAGUCGAGCGAACAGACGAGGUGCUUGCACCUCUGACGUU
rnacentral:rRNA from 1 species